GACGAACGCUGGCGGCGUGCCUAAUACAUGCAAGUAGAACGCACAGUUUAUACCGUAGCUUGCUACACCAUAGACUGUGAGUUGCGAACGGGUGAGUAACGCGUAGGUAACCUGCCUGGUAGCGGGGGAUAACUAUUGGAAACGAUAGCUAAUACCGCAUAAUAUUAAUUAUUGCAUGAUAAUUAAUUGAGAGGUGCAAUUGCACCACUACCAGAUGGACCUGCGUUGUAUUAGCUAGUAGGUGAGGUAACGGCUCACCUAGGCGACGAUACAUAGCCGACCUGGGAGGGUGAUCGGCCCCACUGGGACUGAGACACGGCCCAGACUCCUACGGGAGGCAGCAGUAGGGAAUCUUCGGCAAUAGACGAAAGUCUGACCGAGCAACGCCGCGUGAGUGAAGAAGGUUUUCGGAUCGUAAAGCUCUGUUGUAAGAGAAGAACGGGUGUGAGAGUGGAAAGUUCACACUGUGACGGUAUCUUACCAGAAAGGGACGGCUAACUACGUG
rnacentral:rRNA from 1 species